ACUCAAAUGAAUUGACGGGGGCCCGCACAAGCGGUGGAGCAUGUGGUUUAAUUCGACGCAACGCGAAGAACCUUACCUGGGCUUGACAUGUACGAGUAACCCCUUGGAAACAGGGGGCCUCCUUCGGGACCCGUGCACAGGUGCUGCAUGGCUGUCGUCAGCUCGUGUCGUGAGAUGUUGGGUUAAGUCCCGCAACGAGCGCAACCCCCGUCUCCAGUUGCCAGCGCGUCAUGGCGGGGACUCUGGAGAGACUGCCGGUGCCAAACCGGAGGAAGGUGGGGAUGACGUCAAGUCAUCAUGGUCCUUACGUCCAGGGCUACACACGUGCUACAAUGGACGGUACAGAGGGUCGCGAGGCCGCAAGGCGGAGCCAAUCCCCUAAAGCCGUCCUCAGUGCGGAUUGUCGUCUGCAACUCGACGGCAUGAAGCUGGAAUCGCUAGUAAUCGUGGAUCAGCUACGCCACGGUGAAUACGUUCCCGGGCCUUGCACACACCGCCCGU
rnacentral:rRNA from 1 species